UUAAGAGCCGCUUGGAGAAAGAUUCUAAGGGAACAUCCUCGUGUAACCCUGGGCGCAUUGGCAGCGUCAGAACUCCAAGUGGGCCAGACGAAGAAGUAGUAGAAGAAGAAGCAGCAACAGCAGGAGCAGAAGCCAGGCUGAGGGCCAGUCUGAUAAAAGGCCGCCUGAUCUUCGUUUCUCGUGUCACCAAAUUGGUUGGGAUUCUAGUCGUUGCAUCCCACUUGCGCUUCGCCAUCCCAGCCACCCACUAACCUACACUCACACUCGCGCACACACACACACACACACACUUGCACUCUUCUGUCAUCUCCUGUUGCUAUCUUUGUGUUGAGCUUGCAACAGGCUGCCGCUUCUUCCCGAGUUCCUCUUUGUCGAGUUUUCAUUCUUCUUGACGACGGCGACGGCGACGACGUCUGGGUUUCGGGGGUGGGGUCGGAAGGAGGCGACGUUUUGUUGUGAAAUUAACUGAAGUAGCUUUGGGCUCCGUCGAGGUCUGGCCAUAAUGGACGCUGUUCCAUGCCGUGCAGCGUUAUACCAGUGCUACUCCACACCCCUGAUUCGGAAAUCCACGUCGUUCUUUGCUUCCUUGAGCUCUGACCGGCUGUUGCCCAGUUUGGAUGUCCGAGAUCGCUCCGUGCCCCAGACCAUCGAGUAGGCUCAUGUGAGUUACUGGCUAUCACCCCGGGAAAGAGUUGACAUGGUACAUUCAGAAUACGUUUGCUGAUCUUUUUCCGGUUGGGUCUUCUGAACUUAGAUCCUUCAAUUUCAAUUGCAAUUCUCCCGAUGAUGCGAAGCUACUUCAAAAGAAGUCCGAAUAUAUAUAUAUAUAUAUAUAUAUAUCUAUAUAUAUAUAUAUAUAUAUACAUAUCAACUACUGUGGACGUAUAAUAUGGUCGGAAUGCCAUCGUUUAUUUUCCAUGAUUUUCAUUGUCUCAACGGACCCUACCUUUGACCACAGGAUCCACAUACAGCCGAAAUCCUAAGCACAUAAUUGGAAUCAUAUUUUGCCAGUCGAAUGUCGAGUUGCAGUUUUCAUAGAGCUGCCCGAUCUAGUUUACUACUAGCGUAUGGAGCAGAUUAUUCAGGUUCCAUACCGGUGUAGGAUUGCAAUUUUGUCAUUAGAACUAGUUUUAGCUAGGAAGAACCAUAUUGAUACACAGCCUAGUUGUGAACCCAUCACUCAAUAGUUGUUUUCCCCUUGUAGAAAUCAGCGUUCACGAGUUGGAAGCUCUCAUCAUUUUCAGUCCAAAUGUACCAUCACAAAUGUGAUUCAAUACAACAUCAUAUAAAACUACAUCUUUUUUACAGGGA